GUGCUCACUUUGGCAGCACAUAUACUAAAAUUGGAAUGAUACAGAGAAGGUUAACAUGGCCCCUGUGCAAGGAUGACAUGCAAAUUCAUGAAGCAUUCCAUAUUUUU
rnacentral:snRNA from 1 species